GCCCUGUCGUGCUCUCAUUCGUCCCCUUAUCUCCUUCUCUCCUCCACUCCCCAUCGCGUCCCUCUCCUCAGCCGCCACCGCCAUCGCCGGGAGGGGCCGCCGCUCGCGUCGCUCUCCGCAGCCGCCACCGCCCCUCCCCUUCCAAACCCACCGAGAUGACGGCGUCGGCAAGGUCGGGUGGCUUGCUCGCGCUCACGGAGGCCGAGGUGGUCGCGGUGCUCUGGGUCGUGCGCCGCCUCCGUCGCCGGCAGGAGGGGGCCGCAGAGGCCGCCGCGCAGCCCAGCGACCAGGAGCUCCCCAGUGAGCAGCCGUUCCGCUUCGCCGUCUGCCUCGUCCUCUUUGCCGUCCUCACUCCGUCCUCUUCUAUGUUUUCUGGAUUUGCCGCCGUCGCCUUCUCCGCUCCCAAGAUAGCCUCGCUCUCCUCCUUGGUGCCCAGCGGGAGAGGCAGCGGACGAAAAUCGAUGACGCCGACCCCCUCCUCCACGGCAGCGCGUUCGUCCCCGACGACACCCAGCAGCAGCUCACUCCCGGCCAAAACGAGGCAGCGUUCCCAAAUGUGAAGCAACAACCCGCAGAAAGAUGAGCAGGAGCAGAUCGGGGAUGAAGCCAAGAUCUACGAUGGUGAUUCUUCCAAUAAAAUGAUGCAGGUGGCCAAUAGCUUGAUGGUGUCGUCGAUAUUGUCUCCUCCAGCGUCAAGGAACCAGCUAAAAACGUGAUCGUCAAGCAAGCGACGCUGAGCAAAUGUCAGGUGCCAUCACGCACCAUGGCGUGGCAAUCAGAUUGGCAAUGUGUUCGAUGCAGCGUACAAUGCCAAUGAUCAGUUCAUUUUUGUGGAUUGUUGUGGGGGAUUGAGGCUUUAAAGCACAUGAAUUGCAGCAGGAAUUGUUCAGGAUGCUACUGCUGUUGCUACUUGGCGCGUUACCAUCACCGGGAGGAGCGACGGCCAUCCACAUCGCCAUUGCCAUCGUCCUUCAGAUGGUUUACGUCUUAACUGUCUACAACAAAAACGAUAAACAGCACCGCAUCCGGGUACUAAUGUUGGUGUGAGCUCAAGGCAAAAGGCAAAACCCAUUUGUAGUUUCAGCUUUACGGGGUGUUGUCAGCAAUGAUUGAUGAGGUAAUUGGUUGAGCUACUUUUGGAAGGGGCGACGGAAAUCAUAAAAACUACGAUUGCAAUGGAGAUUCAACAUAUAGAAAGAUGGAAGAGAAUGCAGAAUGCCCAAAUAGGAGGACGUGUUGCUGCUCCUAUAUUUAUGGAGAUUGCUUUUUUAUGUGGAGAGGUUUUAUUGUUUCAACCGAGUCAAAUGCAAAAGGAAGGCACACAUCUGCUUCCCUCCUGAUGUUCACAUAUACUGUUGAUGUUGAAAUAAUUAUUAAAGACUGAACUAUAGAAAGAUGGGAUCAGAAUUAGGAGAUAUGUAAAUAUGUAAUUUCUCUCGAAGAUGAGCUCAGAAUUAGAAGAACCAUAUCUGUUGAUCUCUUUCACUAUCGUUAGGACCUGCUUUUGGUAUAUCAUGAUACAUUUUCCAUGACAUGCUCAAAGUGAUAUAAUGAACUGAACCAUUUUAUUAUUACAAGUUACUCCCUCUUAUGUCA